rnacentral:rRNA from 1 species
AACGCGAAGAACCUUACCUCGGCUUGACAUGCACGUGGUACUGACCCGUAAGGGAAGGGACCCGCGAGGGAGCGUGCACAGAUGCUGCAUGGCUGUCGUCAGCUCGUGCCGUGAGGUGUUGGGUUAAGUCCCGCAACGAGCGCAACCCUUGUCCUUAGUUAUCAUGUCUAGGGAGACCGCCGGUCUAAACCGGAGGAAGGUGGGGAUGACGUCAAGUCAGCACGGCUCUUACGUCGAGGGCUACACACACGCUACAAUGGCCGGUACAACGGGCUGCCAAGGGGCGACCUGGAGCUAAUCCCACCAAAGCCGGUCUCAGUUCGGAUCGCAGGCUGCAACUCGCCUGCGUGAAGUCGGAGUUGCUAGUAACUGCUGGUCAGCACACAGCAGUGAAUACGUUCCCGGGCCUUGUA